CCUACGGGUGGCUGCAGUGGGGAAUAUUGGACAAUGGGCGAAAGCCUGAUCCAGCCAUGCCGCGUGUGUGAAGAAGGCCUUCGGGUUGUAAAGCACUUUCAGUGGGGAAGAAAGCCUUGGGGCUAAUACCCUCGAGGAAGGACAUCACCCACAGAAGAAGCACCGGCUAACUCCGUGCCAGCAGCCGCGGUAAUACGGAGGGUGCGAGCGUUAAUCGGAAUUACUGGGCGGAAAGCGCGCGUAGGCGGUCUGAUAAGCCGGUUGUGAAAGCCCCGGGCUCAACCUGGGAACGGCAUCCGGAACUGUCAGGCUAGAGUGCAGGAGAGGAAGGUAGAAUUCCCGGUGUAGCGGUGAAAUGCGUAGAGAUCGGGAGGAAUACCAGUGGCGAAGGCGGCCUUCUGGACUGACACUGACGCUGAGGUGCGAAAGCGUGGGUAGCAAACAGGAUUAGAUACCCGAGUAGUC
rnacentral:rRNA from 1 species